rnacentral:rRNA from 1 species
UACAUGGGGUGCAAACGUUGCUCGGAAUUAUUGGGCGUAAAGCGCACGUAGGCGGUUUGUUAAGUCGGCUGUGAAAUCCCUCGGCUCAACUGAGGAAGUGCAUCCGAAACUGGCAGGCUUGAGUACUAAAGAGGGUCGCGGAAUUCCCGGUGUAGAGGUGAAAUUCGUAGAUAUCGGGAGGAACACCGGUGGCGAAGGCGGCGACCUGGGUAGAUACUGACGCUGAGGUGCGAAAGCGUGGGGAGCAAACAGG